GUCCUUUAGAAUUUAAUUUAAGGUUUAACCUGCCCACUGAUUUAUUGAAGGGCCGCAGUAAUUUGACUGUGCAAAGGUAGCAUAAUCAUUAGUUUUUUAAUUAAAAGCUUGUAUGAAGGGUUGGACGAGGUAAAUUCUGUCUCUAAAUAAUUUAUUUUAGAAUUUAAUUUUUAAGUUAAAAAGCUUAGAUAUAUUUAAAAGACGAGAAGACCCUAUAGAUCUUUAUAUUAUAUUUAUUAAUUUGGUUAAAGAUUGAUUUAUUUUUUAAGUAAAUAUAUUAUUUUAUUGGGGUAAUAAAAAGAUUUAAGAAAUUCUUUUUUUAUUUAUACAUUGAUAGAUGAUUUUAUGAUCCAUUAUUAUUGAUUAAAAGAUUAAGUUACCUUAGGGAUAACAGCGUAAUUUUUUUUGAGAGUUCAUAUCGAUAAAAAAGUUUGCGACCUCGAUGUUGGAUUAAAAAUUAUUUUAGGUGUAGAAGCUUGAAAAUUUGGUCUGUUCGACCAUUAAAUUUU
rnacentral:rRNA from 1 species